UACGGAGGGUGCAAGCGUUGCUCGGAAUUAUUGGGCGUAAAGGGUAGGUAGGUGGUCUCAUUUGUCUGGGGUGAAAGCCUUGAGCUUAACUCAAGAAGUGCCCCGGAAACGGUGAGACUCGAGUGCUGGAGAGGGUCGUGGAAUUCCCGGUGUAGCGGUGAAAUGCGUAGAGAUCGGGAGGAACACCAGAGGCGAAGGCGGCGACCUGGGCCAAUACUGACGCUGAGGCGCGAAAGCGUGGGGAGCGAACAGG
rnacentral:rRNA from 1 species